GAGAAGUCAGAGGACAGUUGAUAAGACACGUAGAAGACUUCAUACUGAAGAAGAAGCAAACAACAAAAUAGAACAUACCAACGAGUUGUGAGUGAGAAACUUAGCGCCCAGAUAAUAAUCUACAAAGAAGACGUCACUUUGUGAAUGUGAAAAUGAUUUGGAUCUACAUGAUCAUCACAUCUCUGGCAACGGCAGCUCUUUCAGAAGGUUCUGUAGAAUGCAACUUAACUAACACAACUAUAACAACCAAACAGUGUUUUGGAAAACUUGGAGAGUCGCUGAUGUUUCACCUACCGACUCCAACUACAAAAUUUACUUUGAAAAAGAAUAAGAGAGUAAUUUUUUGGUUUCCUGAUAAUCUUGAUGCAGUGGAUAAGAAUAACAAAAAGAACAAAAGAAUGACGUUUCUCAACAAUGGAACAGUAAAGCUCAACAAGCCAUCAAAGGAAGAUUCUGGAGAUUACCUGCUGGAACCAUAUGAUUCCACCACAGUUAGACUCUUGCAUAACAUGAGCAUCCAUGUAGAAAUACAAGCUCCUGUGUCUAAACCAGUUGUGUCUCAGACAUGUUUGUCACCAGAACAGAUGAAGGUCAGCUGCUCCUCUGAGGGAGAUGGAGCAGAGAUCAUUUUAUCUUUGGACAAUAACUUAUGGAUACACAGCGGAGCUGCAG